rnacentral:rRNA from 1 species
GUGGGGAAUAUUGCACAAUGGGCGAAAGCCUGAUGCAGCAACGCCGCGUGAGCGAUGAAGGCCUUCGGGUCGUAAAGCUCUGUCCUCAAGGAAGAUAAUGACGGUACUUGAGGAGGAAGCCCCGGCUAACUACGUGCCAGCAGCCGCGGUAAUACGUAGGGGGCUAGCGUUAUCCGGAAUUACUGGGCGUAAAGGGUGCGUAGGUGGUUUCUUAAGUCAGAGGUGAAAGGCUACGGCUCAACCGUAGUAAGCCUUUGAAACUGGGAAACUUGAGUGCAGGAGAGGAGAGUGGAAUUCCUAGUGUAGCGGUGAAAUGCGUAGAUAUUAGGAGGAACACCAGUUGCGAAGGCGGCUCUCUGGACUGUAACUGACACUGAGGCACGAAAGCGUGGGGAGCAAACAGGAUUAGAAACCCCUGUAGUCC